CCUGGUUGAUCCUGCCAGUAGUCAUAUGCUUGUCUCAAAGAUUAAGCCAUGCAUGUCUAAGUACAAGCCGAUUUAAGGCGAAACCGCGAAUGGCUCAUUAAAUCAGCUAUGAUUCAUUGGAUCUGUACCCACACUUACUUGGAUAACUGUGGUAAUUCUAGAGCUAAUACAUGCACCACGUCUCUGACCGCAAGGAAGAGCGCUUUUAUUAGUUCAAAACCGGUCGGGCCUCGGUCCGUCACCCCACCGUGUUGAAUCUGAAUAACUUGUCGCUGAGCGCACGGUCUCCGCACCGGCGCCGCCUCUUUCAAGUGUCUGCCUUAUCAGCUUUCGAUUGUAGGUUAUGCGCCUACAAUGGCUAUAACGGGUAACGGGGAAUCAGGGUUCGAUUCCGGAGAGGGAGCCUGAGAAACGGCUACCACAUCUAAGGAAGGCAGCAGGCACGCAAAUUACCACUCCCGGCACGGGGGUAGUGACGAAAAAUAACGAUGCGAGACUCAUCCGAGGCCUCGCAAUCGGAAUGAGUACACUUUAAAUCCUUUACGAGGAUCUAUUGGAGGGCAAGUCUGGUGCCAGCCGCGGUAAUUCCAGCUCCAAUAGCGUAUAUUAAAGUUGUUGCGGUUAAAAAGCUCGUAGUUGGAUUUCAGUUCUGGACUGACGGUUCACCGCCCGGUGCAUACUGUCACGCUCCGAACAGCCACAACAGCCCGCUGGCUCGCACGGGGUGCUCUUCAUCGAGUGUCCCGCGUGGCCGGCAGAGUUUUUUUGAAAAAAUUAGAGUGCUCAAAGCAGGCUACACUUACGGCCUGAAUGCCUAUGCAUGGAAUAAUGGAAUAGGACCUCGGUUCUAUUUUGUCGGUUUUCUGAACCGAGGUAAUGACUAAUAGGAACAGGCGGGGGCAUUCGUAUUGCGACGCUAGAGGUGAAAUUCUUGGACCGUCGCAAGACGACUACUGCGAAAGCAUUUGCCAAGGAUGUUUUCAUUAUCAAGAACGAAAGUUAGAGGUUCGAAGGCGAUCAGAUACCGCCCUAGUUCUAACCAUAAACGAUGCUGACCAGCGAUCCGCCGGCGUUAUUCCCAUGACCCGGCGGGCAGCUUCCGGGAAACCAAAGUCUUUGGGUUCCGGGGGAAGUAUGGUUGCAAAGCUGAAACUUAAAGGAAUUGACGGAAGGGCACCACCAGGAGUGGAGCCUGCGGCUUAAUUUGACAACACGGGGAACCUCACCAGGCCCAGACACCGGAAGGAUUGACAGAUUGAGAGCUCUUUCUCGAUUCGGUGGGUGGUGGUGCAUGGCCGUUCUUAGUUGGUGGAGCGAUUUGUCUGGUUAAUUCCGAUAACGAACGAGACUCUGGUCUACUAAGUUAGUCGGAGGGAUCUCAGCAUAUGGUGUCCAGUUCGCAGUUGUAUGUGAUAGGGAUUGAGCGGCGAGCAGAUUAGAGAGCGAAGGACGAGAGAGAAAAAAAAAAACGAGAGUAACGAAGAGUCAGAUAGUCGGUAGCGAGCCGCUCUAGAAUUAGUGUUCAGACAUGUGCGCACGUCGCUGGGCAUACAUGAAAGGAGUUCAGAUCGGACGUGAUCCUCGCGCCCAUCCCGGAAAGGAGCGGCGAUUAACUCGUGUGGAAUCCUUUCUAAUAAGCUUGUUGAGAUUGAGGAGAGGGUUAUGCGAACUCUGGAAGUAGCUGCGAGGAGAAAAAAA
rnacentral:rRNA from 1 species